UACGGAGGGUGCAAGCGUUAUCCGGAUUCACUGGGUUUAAAGGGUGUGUAGGCGGGUUUGUAAGUCAGUGGUGAAAUCUCCGAGCUCAACUUGGAAACUGCCAUUGAUACUAUAGAUCUUGAAUUUUGUUGAGGUAGGCGGAAUAUGUCAUGUAGCGGUGAAAUGCAUAGAUAUGACAUAGAACACCGAUUGCGAAGGCAGCUUACUAAGCAAAUAUUGACGCUGAGGCACGAAAGCGUGGGGAUCAAACAGG
rnacentral:rRNA from 1 species